UUCGAAACUGCGUAACUAGAAUAUGGUAAGAGGAAGACGGAAUUCCACGUGUAGCGGUGAAAUGCGUAGAUAUGUGGAGAAACACCAAUGGCGAAGGCAGUCUUCUGGGCCAAUAUUGACGCUGAGGCUCGAAAGCGUGGGUAGCAAACAGGAUUAGAUACCCUGGUAGUCCACGCCGUAAACGAUGAGAACUAGACGUUGGGCGACAUAGUCGCUCAGUGCCGCAGCAAACGCGUUAAGUUCUCCGCCUGGGGAGUACGGCCGCAAGGUUGAAACUCAAAGGAAUUGACGGGGGCCCGCACAAGCGGUGGAGCAUGUGGUUUAAUUCGAUGCAACGCGAAGAACCUUACCUGCCCUUGACAUCCUGUGAACCCUUCGGAGACGAAGGGGUGCUUUCGAGAACACAGUGACAGGUGCUGCAUGGCU
rnacentral:rRNA from 1 species